UACGUAGGGGGCGAGCGUUGUCCGGAAUGAUUGGGCGUAAAGGGCGCGUAGGCGGCUGUGUAAGUCAGCAGUGGAAGUCCAGCUUUUAAGGUUGGAAGUGCUAUUGAAACUGUGCAGCUUGAGUGCAGGAGAGGUUAUCGGAAUUCCCGGUGUAGCGGUGAAAUGCGUAGAGAUCGGGAGGAACACCAGUGGCGAAGGCGGGUAACUGGACUGCAACUGACGCUGAGGCGCGAAAGUGUGGGGAGCAAACAGGAUUAGAUACCCU
rnacentral:rRNA from 1 species